UUAAUGCUAAAAUUAUGGGUGUUUUCAACUGGUUGCAUCAUUGCCAAGGUAAGCUAUUAUGCUAUGAAGACGACCACACUUGUUCACCAACGAUUGGGCAUUUGUGUUGUUCCAAUAUUGUAACAUCAGUCGAUAAAGAAAUGAAGUAGUAUUGAUCCGUGGAAGUGCUGGAGACUCAGUCUGUUGCCAGUCAUCUAUAAACAAGGGGAUAUAGCUAUAUCAACAAAAUUGGAAAAACAAAAUAAUGAUAUUCGACUAUCCAUGCUUAUAUCUGAACCUCUUGCUAACCUAAAAUGGUAAUGCCCUGUCAGCUAAAACGAGAAUGGCCAAAGAGCGAAAUGACAAGUGCAUCUUGUAGGGUCUAUUUUUAAGGACUGAGUUUUGUAAUGUGCAAUAUCUAUGCCUCAGGUAGAGAUAUGACAAAGCUAUCAUUAGCCUGAAGUGGCUUCCGCGUGCCACAGAGCUGAAACGGGCUUAUAUAAAGGCGGUUGUCAUUUCGACCACACUGCCGUGACUGGGAGUCGCCGAAGCACUUGGCAAGCCUUUAGAAAGUCAACAGGAAUCAAUUUCUUAAGAAAAACAUGCGGAACGGAUAACUAACUGACCAAGAAGUGAAGAAAGGACCGUUCUUUAAAUGCAAUCUUCAAAAGCCUGGAAAAGUGAUUCUAGUUACCAUUACAACAGGAGCUUCAGAACAAGAAAUAUUGGUCUUCUCCGUUUCCUUACCAGAGAAAUGAAUUGAAAACACUACACCAGAAAAUUCUGAGAGCUCAAGGUCUUUACUGCUUUCAGUAAAUGGCUUGACAAGCAAACUCCUCUGGGAACAUAAGUUAGUCAUCGAAUAUAUCUUAUCAAAGCCAAAAAUAUCAAAACGGAAAAACAACGGAGGAAUAGGCUUCUGAGAGUUGCACAGGUCAGCACAUUUUAGAUGUCUUUGGUUAUUUAUUAUGAUUAUCAUUUUUCGUCGCAAUAUGGAGAGACGAAUACUCAACAGAUUCAGCUGAACAAUUAAUUUAAUUCAGUUUCAACUAAACGUAGAUUUUGAAAUGAAGAGUUCAGUGUUCAACAAUAGUUAAUAGAGGAGAAUGGUUAUGAAACUCGACCGUGCACAAAACGCAAUAGUUGUUUACUACUGACCGAGGACCUAACCAAUAGAGACGUUUGGGUUACGUAACUAAAGCAUAGUGUACGAACGGAAGACAAAAGAUUAUGCACGGUCGUGGACCUUCCAACAUAAAUCUUGGCAUUUUCGUUUGCUUCUUUGAUGUUUGCCAGGCUUCAUAACCAUUCCCCUCUGUUAACUGUGGUUCCACGCAUGCAAGACAACUUUAUUCAGAACUGAUAGCACAGCAAUGACAUCGCGUGCCAAAGCUGCAGUAUCGCAGCCAACAAGAGGUCACUGAUGACGCCUUCAGUUAAAGAUGAAUAAAUAAUUUUAAAGGAACCUCUUCCU